rnacentral:rRNA from 1 species
CAUCUCCGACCUCAGAUCGGACGAGAUUACCCGCUGAAUUUAAGCAUAUAACUAAGCGGAGGAAAAGAAACUAACAAGGAUUUCCCCAGUAACGGCGAGUGAAGCGGAAAUAGCCCAGCACCGAAUCCCUCAGUGUCACGCUGACGGGAACUGUGGUGUGUGGGACGCCACCAGUCGCAUCAGUGGGCACCGAAGUCCUCCUGAUCGAGGCUUCACCCAGAGCGGGUGUAAGGCCUUUGCAGGUGCCCUACUGUGCGGCCGCGAGCGUCUCAGGAGUCGGGUUGUUUGGGAAUGCAGCCCAAAGCGGGUGGUAAACUCCAUCUAA